rnacentral:rRNA from 1 species
CCCUUAGAUGUUCUGGGCUGCACGCGCGCUAAACUGACGCACGCAACAGGUGCCUGCUCCGAGAGGACUGGGUAAUCAUUUGAGUGUGCGUCGUGAUGGGGAUAGAAUAUUGUAAUUAUUACUCUUCAACGAGGAAUUCCUAGUAAGCGCCAGUCAGCAGCUUGCGCUGAUUACGUCCCUGCCCUUUGUACACACCGCCCGUCGCUCCUACCGAUGGGUGAUCCGGUGAAUGAUUCGGACUUCAGCGGCUCCCCUGGGGUGCGCCGGAGAAAGUUUUGUGAACCUUAUCACUUGGAGGAAGGAGAAGUCGUAACA